rnacentral:rRNA from 1 species
GACGAACGCUGGCGGCGUGCCUAACACAUGCAAGUCGAACGGAGUGUUGUGCUGAAAUUGAGAUUAGCUUGCUAAAGGAUAUUUCUUGCAACACUUAGUGGCGGACGGGUGAGUAACGCGUGAGGAACCUGCCUUACAGAGGGGGACAACAGUUGGAAACGACUGCUAAUACCGCAUGAUGUGGAGGGGAGACAUCUCCCUUUCACCAAAGGAGCAAUCCGCUGUAAGAUGGCCUCGCGUCUGAUUAGAUAGUUGGUGGGUAACGGCCUACCAAGUCGACGAUCAGUAGCCGGACUGAGAGGUUGAACGGCCACAUUGGGACUGAGACACGGCCCAGACUCCUACGGGAGGCAGCAGUGGGGAUAUUGCACAAUGGAGGAAACUCUGAUGCAGCAACGCCGCGUGAGGGAGAAGGGUUUUCGGAUUGUAAACCUCUGUUUUUAGUGAAGAAACAAUGACGGUAGCUAAAGAGAAGCCACGGCUAACUACGUGCCAGCAG